rnacentral:misc_RNA from 1 species
AACGCAUCUUGCGCUCCUUGGUAUUCCGAGGAGCAUGCCUGUUUGAGUGUCAUUAAAAGUUCUCAACCAUUCUGGUUUUUUCCAGUGUGGCUUGGAUUUGAGGGGUUUUGCAGGCUUUUGAACUGAAGUCGGCUCCCUUGAAAAGGAUUAGUGGUAUCUGAGCAGAAGCCACCAUGGGCGUGAUAAUUAUCUAUGUCUUGGUGAAUGCCUGACCACAAUAAGUGUUGUGUUUUGACGAAUUUGACCUCAAAUCAGGUAGGACUACCCGCUGAACUUAA